UGUCCUACGGGAGGCAGCAGUGAGGAAUAUUGGUCAAUGGGCGCGAGCCUGAACCAGCCAAGUCGCGUGAGGGAAGACGGUCCUAUGGAUUGUAAACCUCUUUUGUCGGGGAGCAAAAGACGCCACGCGUGGCGUUCCGAGAGUACCCGAAGAAAAAGCACCGGCUAACUCCGUGCCAGCAGCCGCGGUAAUACGGAGGGUGCGAGCGUUAAUCGGAAUUACUGGGCGUAAAGCGCUCGUAGGCGGUAUGUCAAGACAAGGGUGAAAUCCCCGCGCUCAACGUGGGAACUGCCUUUGAAACUGGC
rnacentral:rRNA from 1 species